GGAUGAACGCUGGCGGCGUGCCUAAUACAUGCAAGUCGAGCGAACAGACGAGGAGCUUGCUCCUCUGACGUUAGCGGCGGACGGGUGAGUAACACGUGGAUAACCUACCUAUAAGGCUGGGAUAACUUCGGGAAACCGGAGCUAAUACCGGAUAAUAUAUUGAACCGCAUGGUUCAAUAGUGAAAGACGGUUUUGCUGUCACUUAUAGAUGGAUCCGCGCCGCAUUAGCUAGUUGGUAGGGUAACGGCUUACCAAGGCGACGAUGCGUAGCCGACCUGAGAGGGUGAUCGGCCACACUGGAACUGAGACACGGUCCAGACUCCUACGGGAGGCAGCAGUAGGGAAUCUUCCGCAAUGGGCGAAAGCCUGACGGAGCAACGCCGCGUGAGUGAUGAAGGUCUUCGGAUCGUAAAACUCUGUUAUUAGGGAAGAACAAAUGUGUAAGUAACUAUGCACGUCUUGACGGUACCUAAUCAGAAAGCCACGGCUAACUACGUG
rnacentral:rRNA from 1 species